UACGUAGGGUCCUAGCGUUGUCCGGAAUUAUUGGGCGUAAAGAGCUCGUAGGCGGUGUGUCGCGUCGGAUGUGAAAGCCCGGGGCUUAACUUCGGGUCUGCAUUCGGUACGGGCAUGCUGGAGUUCGGUAGGGGAGACUGGAAUUCCUGGUGUAGCGGUGAAAUGCGCAGAUAUCAGGAGGAACACCGGUGGCGAAGGCGGGUCUCUGGGCCGAUACUGACGCUGAGGAGCGAAAGCGUGGGGAGCGAACAGG
rnacentral:rRNA from 1 species